AGUGGGGAAUAUUGGACAAUGGGGGCAACCCUGAUCCAGCAAUGCCGCGUGUGUGAAGAAGGCCUUCGGGUUGUAAAGCACUUUUAUCAGGAAAGAAAACCGGUUGGUUAAUACCCGGCCGGGAUGACGGUACCUGAGGAAUAAGCACCGGCUAACUUCGUGCCAGCAGCCGCGGUAAUACGAAGGGUGCAAGCGUUAAUCGGAAUUACUGGGCGUAAAGGGUGCGUAGGCGGCCUGUUAAGUUGGAUGUGAAAGCCCUGGGCUCAACCUGGGAAUGGCAUCCAAGACUGACAGGCUGGAGUGCGGUAGAGGGUGGUGGAAUUCCCGGUGUAGCGGUGAAAUGCGUAGAGAUCGGGAGGAACAUCCGUGGCGAAGGCGGCCACCUGGACCAGCACUGACGCUGAGGCACGAAAGCGUGGGGAGCAAA
rnacentral:rRNA from 1 species